UUAAUAUACCACUAAGGCACUAACCGUUCCUCUCUGAGUUUGCCAUUAUCGAUUACUUGGUGGGUGGUGGGCUCGAUUCUUCUACUGGCUCACUCGAUUGUUGGGCUUCACAACCUGAUUUGGCUACUCGAUCGCUAGGUUAAUUAAUUGAUCUUCUUGUAUCUGUACCGUUGCGGCUUUUCUAUAUCCCAAAAUUUAGGGUUCUCUGCUUUCUCUCUGGGUUCACCGCCGGAAUGUUGUGGUGAUCACGACUUGAUUUUCCCAUACAUUGGCACUAAGCAACGGAUACAGGAUCUCCAUUUGAGUGUUGAUAGCAGCUGGGCAUUAUGGUUUGUUAGAGGACAAGUAGCAGGUUGUAAUUUAUAUAUGUGGAGUUAUUUCUUGUGGCUCCUGAGUCCUGAAUGGAUCUAUGAGAAGUCUACGACUACAGGGGAUCUUCUUUUAUGAAAUAAUAUUGGCAAAAAAUUAUCAAGAAUCAUAACAUCAUCAUCUAAAAAGGAAGAAUGUUAUGGGAAAACAUAUGACAAACCUUCAGCUUUUCCAUUAAAAGUUCCCAAAAAAGUUCUUGCUCAAUCUGUCCUAGCUUUUCUUGGAUUGGGAUUCGUUGAUGCCGGGUCAUUUGACUACAGCAAGUGAUGUGUACAGCUACAGAGUUUUACUUUUGGAGUUAUUAACAGGACGAAGGGCCAUGGACAGGAGUCGGCCUAGUAGAGAGCAGAGUUUAUUGGACUGGACAAAAUCAUCACUUAGAGAACCACGAAAGCUUAGCCGAAUAAUGGACUCAAAACUUGAAAGCUGAAUAGUGUUCUAGAUGGGGCAGUUCAUCUUUGGUGUAUUUCUUUGUGUUUGAUGAUUUUGAUUGGAAAAGAAGUACUAUAAUGUACUGGGCUGUCAUAUAUAUAAAUAGUACAUUUCAAAUCGGCCAUUACAAAACUGUUGUAGUAGCUAUAAAAA